rnacentral:rRNA from 1 species
CCUACGGGAGGCUGCAGUGAGGAAUAUUGGUCAAUGGCCGAGAGUCUGAACCAGCCAAGUCGCGUGAGGGAUGAAUGCCCUAUGGAUUGUAAACUUCUUUUAUCAGGGAGUAAAGUUCAGUAUGUAUGCUGUUUUGUAUGUACCCUAUGAAUAAGGAUCGGCUAACUCCGUGCCAGCAGCCGCGGUAAUACGGAGGAUCCGAGCGUUAUCCGGAUUUAUUGGGUUUAAAGGGAGCGUAGGCGGGCGUUUCAGUCAGUUGUUAAAGUUUGGGGCUCAACCGUAACCUUGCAGUUGAUACUGGGGGUCUUGAGUGCAGAAGAGGUAGGCGGAAUGCGUGGUGUAGCGGUGAAAUGCUUAGAUAUCACGAAGAACUCCGAUUGCGAAGGCAGCAUGCUGGACUGUAACUGACGCUGAAGCGCGAAAGUGUGGGUAUCAAACAGGAUUAGAUACCCUUGUAGUC